rnacentral:tRNA from 1 species
CGGUCCGUAGCUCAAUUGGUUAGAGCUUCCGUCUUAUACACGGAUGGUUCCUGGUUCGAGUCCAGGCGGACCGACCA